GCCUUUGUGGUGUAAUGGUAGCACACUCGCUGCCUAUUCGAGAGGUCCAGGUUCGAGUCCUGGCGAGGACA